rnacentral:rRNA from 1 species
UACGUAGGCGGAAAAUUAAGUCAGUAGUGAAAUCCUGCAGCUUAACUGUAGAACUGUUAUUGAUACUGGUUUUCUUGAAUAUAGUUGAGGUAGGCGGAAUGUGUAAUGUAGCGGUGAAAUGCUUAGAUAUUACACAGAACACCGAUUGCGAAGGCAGCUUACUAAGCUAUGAUUGACGCUGAGGUACGAAAGCGUGGGUAGCAAACAGGAUUAGAUACCCUGGUAGUCC